UACGUAGGGUGCAAGCGUUGUCCGGAAUUAUUGGGCGUAAAGAGCUCGUAGGCGGUCUGUCGCGUCGGUCGUGAAAACUUGGGGCUUAACUCUGAGCUUGCGGUCGAUACGGGCAUCACUGGAGUUCGGCAGGGGAGACUGGAAUUCCUGGUGUAGCGGUGAAAUGCGCAGAUAUCAGGAGGAACACCGGUGGCGAAGGCGGGUCUCGUGGGCCGAUGACUGACGCUGAGGAGCGAAAGCGUGGGGAGCGAACAGG
rnacentral:rRNA from 1 species